rnacentral:tRNA from 1 species
GGCGAUUAGCGCAGUUUGGUAGCGCACUUGGUUUGGGUCCAAGGGGUCGCAGGUUCAAAU